GCACACCUCAACAUAUUCAAGGUCAAGCAGCUUUUCACCAUAUCCAUAGUAUCUUGCUGCUAAAUGAAAGAAUUAGUGUGGAGGAGCAGAGAAAAGGGCACCUCAACAUGUUCAAGGUCAAGCAGAAAUUAGGAGCUAGGUGUGCUUCUCCAGAGCUGAAAACUUCUUGGCAUGAAGAGAAGAAGAAGCAAGAAAAAGCAGUUUUAAAUAUCAUGAUUACAUCU